rnacentral:rRNA from 1 species
CCCUUAGAUGUUCUGGGCCGCACGCGCGCUACACUGAUGGAUUCAACGAGUAUUACAUCGUCAUUGACGUUGUUGUCCUUGGUCGGAAGGCCUGGGUAAUCUUGUAAAUGUCCAUCGUGAUGGGGCUAGAUUUUUGCAAUUUUGAAUCUCCAACGAGGAAUUCCUAGUAAACGCAAGUCAUCAGCUUGCAUUGAUUACGUCCCUGCCCUUUGUACACACCGCCCGUCGCACCUACCGAUUGAACGGUCCGGUGAAAUCUCGGGACGGCGGCUUGGUCGCUUGCGUCCGACUGCUGAAACUUGAUUAAACCAUAUCAUUUAGAGGAAGGUGAAGUCGUAACA